rnacentral:rRNA from 1 species
CCUACGGGUGGCAGCAGUGGGGAAUAUUGGGCAAUGGGCGCAAGCCUGACCCAGCAACGCCGCGUGAAGGAAGAAGGCUUUCGGGUUGUAAACUUCUUUUCUCAGGGACGAAGCAAGUGACGGUACCUGAGGAUUAUGCCACGGCUAACUACGUGCCAGCAGCCGCGGUAAGCCGUAGGUGGCAAGCGUUAUCCGGAUUUACUGGGUGUAAAGGGCGUGUAGGCGGGGACGCAAGUCAGAUGUGAAAACCACGGGCUCAACCUGUGGCCUGCAUUUGAGACUGUGUUUCUUGAGUACAGUAGAGGCAGACGGAAUUCCUAGUGUAGCGGUGAAAUGCGGAGAUAUUAGGAGGAACACC